rnacentral:rRNA from 1 species
AUUGAACGCUGGCGGCAGGCUUAACACAUGCAAGUCGAGCGGAGAUGAGGUGCUUGCACCUUAUCUUAGCGGCGGACGGGUGAGUAAUGCUUAGGAAUCUGCCUAUUAGUGGGGGACAACAUUCCGAAAGGAAUGCUAAUACCGCAUACGCCCCACGGGGGAAAGCAGGGGAUCCUCGGACCUUGCGCUAAUAGAUGAGCCUAUGUCGGAUUAGCUAGUUGGUGGGGUAAAGGCCUACCAAGGCGACGAUCUGUAGCGGGUCUGAGAGGAUGAUCCGCCACACUGGGACUGAGACACGGCCCAGACUCCUACGGGAGGCAGCAGUGGGGAAUAUUGGACAAUGGGCGGAAGCCUGAUCCAGCCAUGCCGCGUGUGUGAAGAAGGCCUUUUGGUUGUAAAGCACUUUAAGCGAGGAGGAGGCUACCUGGAUUAAUACUCUAGGAUAGUGGACGUUACUCGCAGAAUAAGCACCGGCUAACUCUGUGCCAGCCGCCGCAGUAAUAC